rnacentral:rRNA from 1 species
UUAGAAGCAGCCACCCUUUAAAGAGUGCGUAAUAGCUCACUGGUCAAGGGACUGUGCGCCGACAAUUUAUCGGGGCUAAAGCCUGUUACCGAAAUUGUGGCUUCCGCUUACGCGGAGGGGUAGGGGAGCGUUCUAUAUGCACUGAAGCUCAACUGUAAGGUUGGGUGGAGCGUAUAGAAGUGAGAAUGCCGGCAUGAGUAAUGUGAAGAUGCGUGAGAACCGCAUCCGCCGAAAGUCUGAGGUUUCCUACGCAACGUCGUUCGGCGUAGGGUUAGUCGGUCCUAAGUCGAGGCCGCAAGGCGUAGACGAUGGAUAGCUGGUUAAUAUUCCAGCGCCACCCAUGGAUCGUUUUAAGGCUAAGGAGGGACACGGGAAGCUAGGUAGAGCGUGCCUAUUGGACAUGGUACGUCGGAACCUGUAGGUGAUCUCGGGAUAGGAAAAUCCGUUCCGAGGCUUGAGCUGAGGGGUAAUGCGACUUUAGGGCUUAGCCCUAGGGAAGUCUAUUGAUGCUACACCGGCAAGAAAAACUUCGUAGCUAGAGUCAUGGGUGUCCGUACCGCAAACCGACACUGGUGGACUGGUAUAAAUGUACUAAGGCGGACGAGAGAACCAUCCUUAAGGAACUCGGCAAAUUGACUCCGUAACUUUGGGAGAAGGAGUGCCCUGGGACGUGUACCCCCUUGCGGGAGAAGCGUUUUGGGGUCGCAGAUAAGAGGCUCUGGUGACUGUUUAACAAAAACACAGGUCCCUGCUUAAGUCGUAAGACGAUGUAUAGGGGCUGACGCCUGCCCAGUGCCGGAAGGUCAAGAGGCGCGGUGAGAGCUGCAAAUCGAAGCCCCGGUGAACGGCGGCCGUAACUAUAACGGUCCUAAGGUACCGAAAUCCCUUGUCAGGUAAGUUCUGACCCGCAGGAAAGGCGUAACAACUGGAGCGCUGUCUCAAGGAUGGUCUCGAUGAAAUUGAAGUACGAGUGAAGAUGCUCGUUACCCGCAGCAGGACAAAAAGACCCCGUGGAGCUUUACUGCAACCUGACAUUGAUCCGAGGAUACAGUUGUGUAGCAUAGGUGGGAGGCUAUGAAACUCAGACGCCAGUUUGAGCGGAGCCAUCGUUGAAAUACCACUCUUCUCUGUUUUUGGAUCUAACCCCUGAACAAGCAGGGGAACCGUGUCUGGCGGGCAGUUUGACUGGGGCGGUCGCCUCCCAAAAAGUAACGGAGGCGUGCAAAGGUUCCCUCAGGGUGGAUGGAAAUCACCCGCAGAGCGCAUUGGUAGAAGGGAGCUUGACUGCGAGGCCUACAAGCCAAGCAGGGACGAAAGUCGGCCAAAGUGAUCCUACGGUCCCGUGUGGAAGGGCCGUGGCUUAUCGGAUAAAAGCUACCCCGGGGAU